AUUGAACGCUGGCGGCAUGCUUUACACAUGCAAGUCGGACGGCAGCACAGAGAAGCUUGCUUCUUGGGUGGCGAGUGGCGAACGGGUGAGUAACAUAUCGGAACGUACCGAGCAGUGGGGGAUAACUAAUCGAAAGAUUAGCUAAUACCGCAUAUCUUCUGAGGAAGAAAGCAGGGGACCAUUUGGCCUUGCGCUGUUUGGGCGGCCGAUAUCUGAUUAGCUAGUGGGUGGGGUAAAGGCCUACCAAGGCGAUGAUCAGUAGCGGGUCUGAGAGGAGGAUCCGCCACACUGGGACUGAGACACGGCCCAGACUCCUACGGGAGGCAGCAGUGGGGAAUUUUGGACAAUGGGCGCAAGCCUGAUCCAGCCAUGCCGCGUGUCUGAAGAAGGCCUUCGGGUUGUAAAGGACUUUUGUCAGGGAAGAAAAGGGCGGGGUUAAUACCCCUGUCUGAUGACGGUACCUGAAGAAUAAGCACCGGCUAACUACGUG
rnacentral:rRNA from 1 species